rnacentral:rRNA from 1 species
CUAAGUGGGCUUGAUUGUGGGGAAAACUCCACAGUUAAGCACGCUUGAGCCAGAGGCGUCCUGGGAUGGGUGACCACCUGGGAAGUCCUGGUUACCGAGU